CCUACGGGUGGCAGCAGUGGGGAAUAUUGCGCAAUGGGCGAAAGCCUGACGCAGCGACGCCGCGUGAGGGAUGAAGGUCUUCGGAGCGUAAACCUCUGUCAGCAGGGAAGAACGGUCACUGUGCUAAUCAGCAGUGAAUUGACGGUACCUGCAAAGGAAGCACCGGCUAACUCCGUGCCAGCAGCCGCGGUAAUACGGAGGGUGCGAGCGUUAAUCGGAAUUACUGGGCGUAAAGCGCUCGUAGGCGGUAUGGCAAGUCAAGGGGGAAAUCCCCGCGCUUAACGUGGGAACUGCCGUUGAAACUGGCAAACUGGAGUGUGUGAGAGGAUAGUGGAAUUCCAGGUGUAGGAGUGAAAUCCGUAGAUAUCUGGAGGAACAUCAGUGGCGAAGGCGACUAUCUGGCACAUAACUGACGCUGAGGAGCGAAAGCGUGGGUAGCAAACAGGAUUAGAUACCCGUGUAGUC
rnacentral:rRNA from 1 species